CUGGAUGUAUGGAAAGCUCUCAACCUUCCAGAAAAGGACUGUUCAAAGGAACACUUAAAUCCCUCCGACAGACAAAGAUAACCUCUCUAGGCCCUCUGGUGGUGACGUAUAAGUGCUUUCUCAGUACUUUCUCUCGCUUUUGGACAAAUCCAAGUGCUGUAUCUGUACCCGAAUAGAAAUAAAGGAUUUAAAUGACACAGUUUUCUUCCGCUCUGAAAGUGAACGAAU